rnacentral:rRNA from 1 species
AAUAUUGGACAAUGGGUGCAAGCCUGAACCAGCCAUGCCGCGUGCGGGACGAAGGCCCUAUGGGUCGUAAACCGCUUUUAUACGGGAACAACCGCAGUUACGUGUAACUGUCUGAGUGUACUGAAGGAAUAAGGAUCGGCUAACUCCGUGCAAGCAGCCGCAGUAAUACGGAGGAUCCGAGCGUUAUCCGGAUUUAUUGGGUUUAAAGGGUGCGUAGGCAGCAUUUUAAGUCAGGGGUGAAAUACAGCGGCUCAACCGUUGCAGUGCCUUUGAUACUGAAGUGCUUGAAUGUGAUCGGAGGAGGCGGAACGGGACAAGUAGCGGUGAAAUGCAUAGAUAUGUCCCAGAACCCCGAUUGCGAAGGCAGCUUCCUAGAACAUAAUUGACGCUGAUGCACGAAAGCGUGGGGAUCGAACAG